GAACUUAAGCAUAUCAAUAAGCGGAGGAAAAGAAACUAACAAGGAUUCCCCUAGUAACGGCGAGUGAAGCGGGAAGAGCUCAAAUUUGAAAUCUGGUGGCCUCAGGCUAUCCGAGUUGUAAUCUAUAGAAACAUUUUCCGCGUUGGCCCAUGUACAAGUCUCUUGGAAUAGAGCGUCAUAGAGGGUGAGAAUCCCGUCCUUGACAUGGACUACCAGUGCUUUGUGAUAUGUUUUCAACGAGUCGAGUUGUUUGGGAAUGCAGCUCAAAAUGGGUGGUAAAUUCCAUCUAAAGCUAAAUAUUGGCGAGAGACCGAUAGCGAACAAGUACCGUGAGGGAAAGAUGAAAAGCACUUUGGAAAGAGAGUUAAACAGUAUGUGAAAUUGUUGAAAGGGAAACGAUUGAAGUCAGUCGUGUCUAUUGGACUCAGCCGGUUCUGCCGGUGUACUUCCUUUAGAUGGGGUCAGCAUCAGUUUUGAUCGCUGGAAAAGGGCAGGAGGAAUGUAGCACUCUCGGGUGAACUUAUAGCCUUCUGUCGCAUACAGUGGUUGGGACUGAGGAACGCAGCUUGCCUUUAUGGCCGGGAUUUAUCCACGUACAAGCUUAGGAUGUUGACAUAAUGGCUUUAAACGACCCGUCUUGAAACACGGACCAAGGAGUCUAACAUAUCUGCGAGUAUUUGGGUGUUAAACCCAUCUGCGCAAUGAAAGUGAAUGUAGGAGGGAUCCGCAAGGUGCACCUUCGACCGAUCUGGAUCUUUAGUGAUGGAUUUGAGUAAGAGCAUAUAUGUUGGGACCCGAAA
rnacentral:rRNA from 1 species